rnacentral:miRNA from 7 species
UUAUUGCUUGAGAAUACACGU